GGGGGGGGGGGGGGGGGGGGGGGAGGGGGGGGGGGGGGGGGGGGGGGGGCCGGCGGGGGGCGACGGGUGGCGGACGGGGGAGGAGGACAGCGGGGCGUGGCCGAUCGUGGGGGAGCACGGGGCGCAAGGGGUGCUGAUACCGCAUACGAUCUACGGAUGAAAGCAGGGGACCGCAAGGGCUUGCGCGGCCGGGGCGGCCGCUGGCAGAUUAGGUAGUUGGUGGGAUAAAAGCUUACCAAGCCGACGAUCUGUAGCUGGUCUGAGAGGAUGAUCAGCCACACUGGGACUGAGACACGGCCCAGACUCCUACGGGAGGCAGCAGUGGGGAAUUUUGGACAAUGGGCGCAAGCCUGAUCCAGCCAUGCCGCGUGCAGGAUGAAGGCCUUCGGGUUGUAAACUGCUUUUGUACGGAACGAAAAGCCUUCUUUUAAUACAGGAGGGUCAUGACGGUACCGUAAGAAUAAGCACCGGCUAACUACGUG
rnacentral:rRNA from 1 species